rnacentral:rRNA from 1 species
UACGUAGGCAGCGAGCGUUGUUCGGAGUUACUGGGCGUAAAGCGUGCGUAGGCGGUGUCUUAAGUUUGUUGUGAAAUCUCCCGGCUUAACCGGGAGGGUGCGGCGAAUACUGAGAUGCUGGAGUGCCGGAGAGGUAAGCGGAAUUCCUGGUGUAGCGGUGAAAUGCGUAGAUAUCAGGAGGAACACCUGCGGUGUAGACGGCUUACUGGACGGUAACUGACGCUGAGACGCGAAAGCGUGGGGAGCGAACAGG